AUGAAGCCGGAAUUGCUAGUAAUGGCAGGUCAGCAUACUGCCGUGAAUACGUUCCCGGGCCUUGUACACACCGCCCGUCACACCAUGAGAGUUGGGGAUACCCGAAGCCUGUGAGCCAACUUUUAAAGAGGCAGCAGUCGAAGGUAGAAUCAAUGAUUGGGGUGAAGUCGUAACAAGGUAAC
rnacentral:rRNA from 1 species